ensembl:lncRNA
CUCAAAGGAGGGGUACAAACACAGGCCAGGCCGACCGGUCCGGGAGGUGCAUUCAAGAUGCCGUAAUGCAGACCGAGUCUGGAGGAUGUUUUCAUGACCCUUGGCGGGAGUAUCAGCAGCUGGAGGAGACGCGAGGCCUGAGCAACAUCAGGGUUUGGGUUUCUGUUUGUUUUUAGGGUGAGAGAAACUUGAAUCGUGGUGGGAAGGAGCUCAUAGAGAAACAGAGGUUGCAGCUGGUUGGCCAAUCUACAGGAAACCAUGAAGAACAAGUAUCUCCCUCUUCUCUGAAAUCUCCAACGCCCUCCGGACCUUAAGCACGUGGCUCUUUGUCUGAUGCCUGAGCUGACACCACUGGUAACUGUAUUCGCCACAGGGACCACUUUUCCUGUUGUGAGCAUUCUCUUAUUUUUGACUGUCCAGCAUUCAUCCCUUUCGAGGGUGUCAGACCCUGACUGUCUUUGGGAAAACAUCUAUUCUCUGCAUUUUCCAGGACUGAGGGGACCCAGCCCUUGCCAUUCAAGAGUUGCAUCCCCCUGGCUGGGGGCACGUGGUGCUGGGGGACCCUGGAGACCUCCCUCCUGGCUCUGCACCGGCCCACAGGCCAGGGGACACUCCUAGUUUCUGGCACAGGUGUUCAGAGAGCGUCUGUGAGCCUGAGCAGAGGGCGGAGCUAAGACAGCAGAAGAGAACGGGGGACAGACAGACUGAGUCUUGAUUUCGUCGUCACCCACAAUCUCUCACGCUGCCAGACUUCUCAGCUCUGUGCAUCUCAAUCUCAGCUCUGGUCAACUGGAUUUAGCUUGAUCGCUAUCAUCUGCUGCAGAAGCGUCUGGACUGAGCAUUGUGCUCUGUGUUCGUGCCGUGGGUCUGGGCUCCAAGCUCCCCCACGUACACGUCCCCCGGCCCCUGGACGUCAUGGCAGGCGAUGCUCUUCUGAUGUCAACCUUGGCUACUCCUCAGCCUACAGCUUGUAUCCCUGUUGGCCUCCGUCUAAUUCUGGCUGCUCUGGGUAACAAUCAACACGAUCCAAGUUUAGCUGGUGUUACUGCUCUGUUGCCCGGGGAACUACAGGCAGACAGAGAAAGUUCACAGCUGCCUUGAGCAAAGUAUUCUCAUGUCUCUCAGAAC